UACAUGGGGUGCAAACGUUGCUCGGAAUUAUUGGGCGUAAAGCGCACGUAGGCGGUUUGUUAAGUCGGAUGUGAAAUCCCUCGGCUCAACUGAGGAAGUGCAUCCGAAACUGGCAGGCUUGAGUACUAAAGAGGGUCGCGGAAUUCCCGGUGUAGAGGUGAAAUGCGUAGAGAUCGGGAGGAACACCCGUGGCGAAGGCGGCCAGCUGGGCCGGUCCUGACGCUGAGGCGCGAAGGCGUGGGGAGCGAACGGG
rnacentral:rRNA from 1 species